AGAGUUUGAUCCUGGCUCAGGAUGAACGCUAGCUACAGGCUUAACACAUGCAAGUCGAGGGGCAUCAUGCUUAUAGCAAUAUAAGUGAUGGCGACCGGCGCACGGGUGAGUAACACGUAUCCAACCUGCCGAUAACUCGGGGAUAGCCUUUCGAAAGAAAGAUUAAUACCCGAUGGCAUAAUAGAACCGCAUGGUUUGAUUAUUAAAGAAUUUCGGUUAUCGAUGGGGAUGCGUUCCAUUAGGCAGUUGGUGGGGUAACGGCCCACCAAACCUUCGAUGGAUAGGGGUUCUGAGAGGAAGGUCCCCCACAUUGGAACUGAGACACGGUCCAAACUCCUACGGGAGGCAGCAGUGAGGAAUAUUGGUCAAUGGACGAGAGUCUGAACCAGCCAAGUAGCGUGAAGGAUGACUGCCCUAUGGGUUGUAAACUUCUUUUAUAUGGGAAUAAAGUGGUCCACGUGUGGAUUUUUGUAUGUACCAUAUGAAUAAGGAUCGGCUAACUCCGUGCCAGCAGCCGCGGUAAUACGGAGGAUCCGAGCGUUAUCCGGAUUUAUUGGGUUUAAAGGGAGCGUAGGUGGACAGUUAAGUCAGUUGUGAAAGUUUGCGGCUCAACCGUAAAAUUGCAGUUGAUACUGGCUGUCUUGAGUACAGUAGAGGUGGGCGGAAUUCGUGGUGUAGCGGUGAAAUGCUUAGAUAUCACGAAGAACUCCGAUUGCGAAGGCAGCUCACUGGACUGCAACUGACACUGAUGCUCGAAAGUGUGGGUAUCAAACAGGAUUAGAUACCCUGGUAGUCCACACAGUAAACGAUGAAUACUCGCUGUUUGCGAUAUACAGUAAAGCGGCCAAGCGAAAGCAUUAAGUAUUCCACCUGGGGAGUACGCCGGCAACGGUGAAACUCAAAGGAAUUGACGGGGGCCCGCACAAGCAGUGGAGUAUGUGGUUUAAUUCGAAGCAACGCGAAGAACCUUACCAGGUCUUGACAUCCGAUGCAUAGCACAGAGAUGUGUGAAGUCCUUCGGGACAUCGAGACAGGUGGUGCAUGGUUGUCGUCAGCUCGUGUCGUGAGAUGUUGGGUUAAGUCCCGCAACGAGCGCAACCCUUAUUGCCAGUUACUACGUAAGAGGACUCUGGCGAGACUGUCGUUGACAAAACGGAGGAAGGUGGGGAUGACGUCAAAUCAUCAUGCCCUUUAUGACCUGGGCUACACACGUACUACAAUGGCGUUUAACAAAGAGAAGCAAGACCGCGAGGUGGAGCAAAACUCAAAAACAACGUCUCAGUUCAGAUUGCAGGCUGCAACUCGCCUGCAUGAAGUCGGAAUUGCUAGUAAUCGCGGAUCAGCAUGCCGCGGUGAAUACGUUCCCGGGCCUUGCACACACCGCCCGUCAAG
rnacentral:rRNA from 1 species